rfam:Gossypium hirsutum cultivar TM-1 chromosome 5, whole genome shotgun sequence
AUUCCGUGAUAAGGGCAUUACUAUAAUAAUUUAUUGUACCUUUCCCAUGCCUCAUGCAAGGACUCAUCAUCUAUUUGUUGGAAAUCAGUGAUCUUAGUGCUCAACUU